rnacentral:lncRNA from 1 species
GCGAAAUACCCAAGCCCACUGCUAGGACUUUCGGGGGAAACGACCAUGGCCUAUGGAUCGAUUAGACUCGCUGUCAAAGCCGGAACCGUGACGAACAUCACAGAGUUUCUAGUCGUUGACCACCCCGCAUCUUACAACGUUAUCAUGGGGACGCCAUGGCUGAACACCAUGCGCGCAAUCCCAUCAACCUACCAUCUUUUUCUCAAGUU